UCGGACUGAUCACAAUUAACAAACGAAAACAAUUAAUGACAACUAAUCAUCUUAAUUGUUGACAUAAUGUUGACCCAACGAACCCAAUGAUUAACAUGAUUGUCGUUUCUAAAUCAACUGAUUGAUUUAAUUAAAUCAGAUGAAAACAUUAUCCUUUUUAAUUGUUUUCCCAUUUCAUUUUAAUUUCCUGAAAAAACUCAACAAUUAACCAAAUCAAAGCGAAACAAUCAAUUGAUUAACAAUUAACAAAUUAUUUUCUCCGAAACUUUUCCUGUCAAAAUCUCACAAUUAGUGCGAGAAAAAAAAUAAACGUCCAACUAAUCAAAUCAAUUCUUAAAUCAAUCAAUCAUCAGCAAAUCGAUUAGUUUGUUAAAUUUAAUUUUCGCACAUUUAGUUAAUUGUAUUGAUCAAUUUUCCCAAAAUUGUCAUUUGCUUGUCACUCGCCAAUGGGUCAACAUUAAUGUUUCUGUUUUCUUAUUGUUCCUCCUCUCUAAUAAUUAACUUUUUAUACACUUGAAAUUAGAUUAAUUACUUUGCAAUUGGAAUUAAAUUGUUUACAAUUAGUGUCUUCAAAUUCACGAUCAUGUUAAUUUGUUAAUUAAAAAUAAUUAAACGGUAACCAGAAUCAUCAAAACCUUGAACGAUUUACAGUAGUAAUAAGUAAUUUAACAGAUAACCAAUGCUACAUUUGAUUGCCCACUGUGAUUAAUUAAUCUUCUUCUUAUUCUAAUGAUUAUUUCUUCCUGGAUUUCCAGGUAAUCAGAAUUUUUAAUAUUUCUGGAACCAGGAAAAGGCUUGAGGGUAAACAUGAGCUUCCAAUGGAAAGGAGUUCAUAGAUGGUGAGGAAGAUUAAUCUAUGGAAAUGAUGUAAUUCAUCCUCUUUAAUCCGAUGUCUAUGUUGAUGCUCAUCGUUGGAAGAGAAAAAAAUUAAUGCUCCUUUUUUUUCAUUUCCAAUCAUCUUCUUCUUCCUGUUUCGGAUUCUCUUUCACUAUGGACUCAGUGGAUCACCCUGACUAGGAAUCAACUGAACAACAAUAUAUCUAUGAUUUGGAAUCAACAAUGAUAUAGAUUUUCAAAUAAUCUAAUGUUUUAUUGGUUAUCGUGUCCAGUAUGAUGAAUGAAAAAGAAACUUGUUGAUGGUCAAUGUCCGGUUUACAUAAGUGCAAUCAUUUUUAAUCAAUCAAUUCCAUCUUAUCAUAAUUCAUAAUCCAUUUUAUCCUUGGACAAAAAAGAUAUUUAAAUUAUUAUUCUGCUGCCUGACAUCUAAUACUCUGAUUACUUUCAGGAUAAAUUGUGUUCAACAAAUUCAGCUGAAGGUGAACUUUUCGACGAUGAUCUUCCACGAGGUCGAGCUUCCAUACUGUAUGAUAACAAAGCGAAAUAAUAACUGUAGAUUGUAGUAAUUAGUUGCUGUAAAACGAAAAUAAGACCAACAUCGUUAAUAGCAUCCAAUUUAUACCGAAAACAUUUCAACCACAAACCUUUCGAAUCUUAUUGGUGCAAAGUUGCUUCAAUCAGCUCGAUGACUUUGGGAAACAGGAAAAAGGAAACACUUAAAGAGGAAGAUGACCCAAGACCAGCACCAACCGGAACAUUGGAAUUAAUUUAAGUUAAUUUUCGAUAAGAAAAUUAAACAUCGAUGUAACAUGGUAGCAUAUUGAAAGAGAGGAGAUGUUUAAAUGUAAAGAAUGUGUUGAUUAGCUAACUCAUGACUGCGCUCUUGGUGAACGAUGACUCUAAUUAAACAGUCCAAUUUGUAAGCGCACUGACAAGGCGCUGGAACAGAAAUGGUUCCCUGUUGAUAUUAAUAAAAUGUUUUCAAUUAAACAGAAA